rnacentral:lncRNA from 1 species
GUUAUAUUUUCUUUUAAACUAUAUGUUUUCUUAAUUGUUGGGAUUACUUUUUCAUUUUGUUCUUUUAUUUUCAUUAAAUUUUGUUUAACUUUAAAAUCUGAAUUUUUAAUUUCUGUGCUAGUUUUUAAAAAAUUUUCUUUUUUACUUCCAUCUACUUUUUCUUUUAAAAUAUUAUUAUCUUUGUUUUUUUUCAACAACAUAUCACAGUUUUUAUUUGAUACGUCCUUCAAUACGUCCUUAGAUACGCCCUUCGAUACAUCCUUCGAUACGUCCUUCGAUACGUCCUUCGAUACGUGGUUCAAUACGCCCUUCGAUACACCCUUCGAUACGUCCUUAGAUACGUGGUUCAAUACGCGAUUCAAUACAUGGUUCGUAUUUGUAUUAUUUUUCUCAACAGAAGAUUCUUUACUCAGUGGUAUGUUCUUCUUUAUCAUUUUCGGUUCUUUUGGUGUACUUGUUUUUAUCAUCAACGGAUUUAAUGAUUUGUUUAUUUCCCCUUUCAACGAAUAUGCUUUAUUAUUAUACAUAAACUUAGAAACUUCUUCAUUUCUUUUUAUUAACACAUUAGUUUUUAAUGGUAAUAACAUAUUUUUUUGCUCUAAUAUCUUAUUAACCAUUGAAAUAUCUACUUUUUCAUCAUUUAAUUGAUUUUUUUCGUUUUUAUUUAUAUCAACUUUUACUGUCGUUUUCAUGGUAUCCUUUUUUGUAACAGUUGUUACACAUGUUUUUGAUAUAUGUUUUUCAACUAAGUUGUUUUUGUUGUUGUAGGUAGCUAGGGAAUUUUUUUUUAACGGGAAAGUCAUUUUUGUAUUAGUAAAUGCUUUUUUAAUAUUUACAUUUUCUUGGUUAAAUGGUGUUGUGGUACUUUUAUUUAAUAUUUUUGCAGAAUAUUUUUUUAUUUCAAAAGCAGAUAAUAUAUUUCUUUUAUCUACAUUUUCACAUAUAUUAUCUGAUAAUGUUUCUUCUUGUAACAUAUUUUCACUUUCUUCUAUUUCAAUGUAAGGAUUUGAGAUACAAUUUGUUUUUAUAGACCUUUCAGAAGAGCUACUAAUAGAUCUUAUAAUAUUACCAUAUAAUUUAUCCUGUUUCUUAUUAUUUUUUAAAUAAUAAUUUUUUAAAUUACAAACAUUUAAUGUACAUAAAUCUUUUUCAAAAAUAUUAUUUCUGUAAAUAUGAUUAUCACUCGUUAUAAUUUCACUUAAUGAAGCUUUACAAAUAGUUGGGUUAUUAUAUAAAAUAGCAUUUAAUUUUAUACUCAUAGGAAUUAAUUUCCAAAUAUUAUAUAAAUGUAGCCAAUUUUUGUCAUUACAUAGUACAGCUACAUAUUUUAAAUCUGCUGAACUAUGUUCCCAUAAAGAACGAUAUAAUAACCAGGAUCUAUUGUUCGUUUCUAUACAUAACCAUUUCAAAUCUCUUUUACAUAAUUCCCAUCUAUCAGAAAUUGUUAACCAACCUUUAUCAUUCGUUUCAUUAGCUAUCCAUUCUAAAUCUUGUAAUUUAUGAGAAGUUAAUUCAACAUUUUUAUUUUUUUCUUCAAAAGCAUAAUGCACAUUAUCUUUAUGUUUAUUAUUACCUUCUAUUUUUGUUAAUGUCAUAUGUAUCAAUUUGCAACAUUCAUAUAUUUUUUUAUCUCUCUAAAAAAAAAAAAAAAAAAAUUCAUAAGUAUUUAUAAAAGAAAAUUAGUUUUAAAUCGGUUUGCAACACAAGUGAACAUAGUACAUACAUAUAAAUGUGCGUUUAUAAUUCUUCACACAAAAUUAAAUUCGUUUUAUUCUUUUUCUUACUAUUGGAGUUGAACUCAGCAUAGUAUGAAUUAAAGGAAGGGCAGAUAACACUAAAAAAAAAAAAAAAAAAAAAAAACAAAAAUAAAACCAAUACAAAUAUAUAUGUGUUGCA